rnacentral:misc_RNA from 1 species
AACGCAUACUGCGCUCCUGGGUGACUAGGAGCAUGUCUGCCUGAGUGUCAUUUAUACAACUUCACUAAAGAAGAACUUAAAACAUUCUUCUUUGUGGAUAUGCUAGUCUCUGCGACAACAAGUCAUAGAGUCUAGUGAAAUGCAUUGGAAGAUGACCUUUUUUUCUUUUGAACAGAAAGAAAAGAAAAGACUCAGCAAAAAGAAAGGGAAUUAUUUGUUCCUUCCUUUUUCUCUUUUUUCUUCUUUGCCUGUUUCUCAUCCUUGUAAUGAGGUAGAAUUUAUACAACAUUACAACCAAAGGGUAAGGGACUUUAGUGUAUCGAAGUAUCAUGAAAAGGAUCAAGGCAAGUGGGCAACCUUUUUUUCAAUAUUUGACCUCAGGUCAGGCAAGACUACCCGCUGAACUUAA